rnacentral:rRNA from 1 species
CUACGUGCCAGCAGCCGCGGUAAUACGUAGGUCCCGAGCGUUAUCCGGAUUUAUUGGGCGUAAAGCGAGCGCAGGCGGUUAGAUAAGUCUGAAGUUAAAGGCUGUGGCUUAACCAUAGUACGCUUUGGAAACUGUUUAACUUGAGUGCAGAAGGGGAGAGUGGAAUUCCAUGUGUAGCGGUGAAAUGCGUAGAUAUAUGGAGGAACACCGGUGGCGAAAGCGGCUCUCUGGUCUGUAACUGACGCUGAGGCUCGAAAGCGUGGGGAGCAAACAGGAUUAGAUACCCUGGUAGUCCACGCCGUAAACGAUGAGUGCUAGGUGUUGGGUCCUUUCCGGGACUCAGUGCCGCAGCUAACGCAUUAAGCACUCCGCCUGGGGAGUACGACCGCAAGGUUGAAACUCAAAGGAAUUGACGGGGGCCCGCACAAGCGGUGGGGCAUGUGGUUUAAUUCGACGCAACGCGAAGAACCUUACCAGGUCUUGACAU